rnacentral:rRNA from 1 species
GAUGAACGCUGGCGGCGUGCCUAAUACAUGCAAGUCGAACGCAUAGCGAAAGGUGCUUGCACCUUUCAAGUGAGUGGCGAACGGGUGAGUAACACGUGGACAACCUGCCUCAAGGCUGGGGAUAGCAUUUGGAAACAGAUGCUAAUACCGAAUAAAACUUAGUGUCGCAUGACACAAAGUUAAAAGGCGCUUCGGCGUCACCUAGAGAUGGAUCCGCGGUGCAUUAGUUAGUUGGUGGGGUAAAGGCCUACCAAGACAAUGAUGCAUAGCCGAGUUGAGAGACUGAUCGGCCACAUUGGGACUGAGACACGGCCCAAACUCCUACGGGAGGCUGCAGUAGGGAAUCUUCCACAAUGGGCGAAAGCCUGAUGGAGCAACGCCGCGUGUGUGAUGAAGGCUUUCGGGUCGUAAAGCACUGUUGUAUGGGAAGAACAGCUAGAAUAGGAAAUGAUUUUAGUUUGACGGUACCAUACCAGAAAGGGACGGCUAAAUACGUG